CACCCUCUCCACGCACGGUCUCUGCGCAAAGAAUACGCCUCGUCACCCUCUUAACACGCGACUCGCUCCUCCUCCUCACUCCUCCUCGCGUCGUCGUCCCAUUCCGUCGCCGCCGCCGCCGCCGCCGCCGUGCACUCCACCGCCUCCGCCGCGCACUGAACCGAGGCGAGGUCUUCCCCAACCACCGCCGGAGCCGUGGUCUUCCCCAUCUGCCGCGACUGGCCGCAGCAGGAGCCGACGUCGUCCCCAUCCGCCGCCGCCGCCGCCGCAAUCCACCGCUACCCUCGAGGUCGUCGCUUUCUUUCACCGCCACGCACUGAACCGGAGGCGAGGUCUUCCCCAGACCCCCACGGAGCCGAGGUAUUCCCCAUCUGCCGCCGCCGCCGUGCACUCCACCGCGAUUUCUCCGCCCAUCCGCUGCUCCAUCGCGAUUUCUCCGCCGCUGCAACCUCUGCCCCGCCGAUCGCACCCCAUCGCGUCGCCGGUUUCUCACGCCUGUUGCCGAGUCCAAGUUGAUCCGAUUGGUUCCUCCGUCGAGGUCGCCCCUGCCAGAGAGGCCAAGCCGAUCCAGCAUCUGCUCCACCUACUGGCCCCUCCCCGUUCUCUGCUCCUGACACCGUCGGAAAUCAACCACAGGCCACCAGCAACUGCACCUGCACCCUGUUGCUCGCAUGAUUGUGAUGACACAUAAUCUCGAUCUGCAACUCACUGUCUCCAUUUUCUCAAGCCGGAACAUUGGGGAUAUUAUGGCAGGAGCAGCGUGGAGUCAAAGCCCUACUCCGUAGAGGGCUCGAGGCUGCGCGGAUCGCUUCCUCUCUUUGAACACAGCUGGGGUGUGCGACAUGGCUGUGGUGGAGGAUCUGCCCCCACCCAGGUGAACCCUCACUUUAGACUGUAGAUUGCAACAGCUAUAUGUAAAUUACAAUAACGAUUUCUCUAUUAAUGAACCUGCAGUUUAAUCUGAAAAUUUAGGCAAAAUGUAACCGUUGCAGUCCUUUGUUUUCUUUCUCAAACACACCAUUCCAGUCUUUUGGAAUGACCCUUAGGGCCUGUUUGGCACAGCUACAGCUCCAGAGCUCAGCCAAACAGUUUCAGCUCCACCAAAACUGGGAGUGGAGAUGGGUGGAGCUCUCUCACAAAAUAAACUAGAGUUGUGGAGCGUUGUUUAGGAAGCUCCACAACUCCACGCCAGACCCAACUCUUGAAGCUAAAUUUAGGAGUUGGAGCUGUACGAAACAGGCCCUAAAGCUGACCAAUCACUUGUGAAGGAAUCCUCUACUUUGCAGAAGCAGAAGCGUUACUUGGCAUAUAUACUUUGCAGAAGCAGAAACACAACUUGGCGGUGGCUGGUUUAUUUAGCAAUCUCUACUUGGCUUUGAUGGCCAGUGUGGUAAUUAAUUUCAGAAAUCUCCGAUUCUUGUUGACAAAAUUUCUUUUGCAGGUUGAACAUGGUGAUUUCAGACAUUUAUCAAUGAUGGAUUAUCUGCUUGCCUAUUCUUUCUGUUACAUCAGUUGUGGGAUGUUUUUCUGUUAAAUUAAUCUAGGUUGCUCUCUUGAUCUGGUCUAGACAGAUCCUAAGCAAAGGUUGCAAUAAGGAAAACAAAAGGAAAAGCUCAAAAUAUCCAUGUCAACUUGAAGAUAUUGUGGAUUGCAGAUUGUGAGGGUUACAUUUGAAGUUAUUGUGGAUGACACGAAUCAAUUGUGUAGAUACUUGUGUUAUUUUCUCUUACUUAGUGGAGUUCUCUUGAAUGCAUCUGAAGACAACUCUUUUGCUUUGAGCCUUUCAAGUGUUUGUUAAGUUGUGGAAAAUUGUAUCCAUUUUGUAAUGUUGGCUACUUUGCACCUCCACAACAAGUGUCCAAGAGGGGGUAACCAAAAUAGGCUAGAUCAUGUUAGAACAUAUUGUUCUUAAACUUGUGUAUUUGUAUGUUUCAUGCGACAUUUAUUGGGGAAAACACAAUAAACUAUCAGGGUAUUCACAUGUUUCUUGCUAUUUACCAUAUAUGGAAAACGUGCAAAGUGCACGAUUACUAGUUUUGGAAA